CCUACGGGUGGCAGCAGUGGGGAAUUGUUCGCAAUGGGCGCAAGCCUGACGACGCAACGCCGCGUGGAGGAUGAAGGUCUUCGGAUUGUAAACUCCUGUUGCUCGGGACGCGGUACCGAGUGAGGAAGCCCCGGCUAACUCUGUGCCAGCAGCCGCGGUAAUACAGAGGGGGCAAGCGUUGUUCGGAAUUACUGGGCGUAAAGGGCGCGUAGGCGGCCUGUUAAGUCGAACGUGAAAUCCCCGGGCUCAACCCGGGAACUGCGUCCGAAACUGGCAGGCUCGAAUCCGGGAGAGGGAUGCGGAAUUCCAGGUGUAGCGGUGAAAUGCGUAGAUAUCUGGAGGAACAUCGGUGGCGAAGGCGGCAUCCUGGACCGGAUUGACGCUGAGGCGCGAAAGCCAGGGGAGCAAACGGGAUUAGAUACCCUUGUAGUC
rnacentral:rRNA from 1 species